CCCGCUGAACUUAAGCAUAUCAAUAAGCGGAGGAAAAGAAACCAACAGGGAUUGCCUUAGUAACGGCGAGUGAAGCGGCAAUAGCUUAAAUUUGAAGUCUGGCGCUUUUGGGCGUCCGAGUUGUAAUUUGUAGAGGAUGUUUCGGUAUAGGCUCCGGUCUAAGUCCCUUGGAACAGGGCGUCGCAGAGGGUGAGAGUCCCGUCCGGGACCGACAGCCUCAGUCAUGUGAAACUCCUUCGACGAGUCGAGUUGUUUGGGAAUGCAGCUCUAAUUGGGAGGUAAAUUUCUUCUAAAGCUAAAUACUGGCCAGAGACCGAUAGCGCACAAGUAGAGUGAUCGAAAGAUGAAAAGCACUUUGGAAAGAGAGUUAAACAGUACGUGAAAUUGUUGAAAGGGAAGCGCUUGCAAUCAGACCUGCGUGCAGUGGUUCAUUUAGUCAUUUAGCCUGGUGCAUUCUUCAGUAACACAGCCCAGUAUCGGUGUGGGCGGUUGGAUAAAGAAUUCAGGAAGGUAGCUCUUUUGGGGGAGUGUUAUAGCCUGUUGUGUAAUGCAGCCAGCCCAGAUCGAGGACCGCGCCUUCGGCUAGGAUGCUGGCGUAAUGGUUGUAAGCGGCCCGUCUUGAAACACGG
rnacentral:rRNA from 1 species